rnacentral:rRNA from 1 species
GCUCAACCGGGGAGGGUCAUUGGAAACUGGGGAACUUGAGUGCAGAAGAGGAGAGUGGAAUUCCACGUGUAGCGGUGAAAUGCGUAGAGAUGUGGAGGAACACCAGUGGCGAAGGCGACUCUCUGGUCUGUAACUGACGCUGAGGCGCGAAAGCGUGGGGAGCGAACAGGAUUAGAUACCCUGGUAGUCCACGCCGUAAACGAUGAGUGCUAAGUGUUAGAGGGUUUCCGCCCUUUAGUGCUGCAGCAAACGCAUUAAGCACUCCGCCUGGGGAGUACGGUCGCAAGACUGAAACUCAAAGGAAUUGACGGGGGCCCGCACAAGCGGUGGAGCAUGUGGUUUAAUUCGAAGCAACGCGAAGAACCUUACCAGGUCUUGACAUCCUCUGACAACCCUAGAGAUAGGGCUUCCCCUUCGGGGGCAGAGUGACAGGUGGUGCAUGGUUGACGUCAGCUCGUGUCGUGAGAUAUUGGGUUAAGUCCCGCAACGAGCGCAACCCUUGAUCUUAGUUGCCAGCAUUCAGUUGGGCACUCUAAGGCGACUGCCGGUGACAAACCGGAGGAAGGUGGGGAUGACGUCAAAUCAUCAUGCCCCUUAUGACCUGGGCUACACACGUGCUACAAUGGGCAGAACAAAG